rnacentral:rRNA from 1 species
UACGGAGGGUGCGAGCGUUGCUCGGAAUUAUUGGGCGUAAAGCGCGUGUAGGCGGCCUUUUAAGUCUGAUGUGAAAGCCCCGGGCUCAACCUGGGAAGUGCAUUGGAAACUGGAAGGCUUGAGUACGGGAGAGGGUAGUGGAAUUCCGAGUGUAGGGGUGAAAUCCGUAGAUAUUCGGAGGAACACCGGUGGCGAAGGCGGCUACCUGGACCGAUACUGACGCUGAGACGCGAAAGCGUGGGGAGCAAACAGGAUUAGAUACCCUGGUAGUCCACGCCGUAAACGAUGGGUACUAGGUGUCGCGGGUAUUGACCCCUGCGGUGCCGAAGCUAACGCAUUAAGUACCCCGCCUGGGGAGUACGGCCGCAAGGCUAAA